rnacentral:rRNA from 1 species
AGUGAACGCUGACGGUAGGCCUAACACAUGCAAGUCGAACGGCAGCACAGUAAGAGCUUGCUCUUACGGGUGGCGAGUGGCGGACGGGUGAGGAAUACAUCGGAAUCUACUUUUUCGUGGGGGAUAACGUAGGGAAACUUACGCUAAUACCGCAUACGACCUACGGGUGAAAGCAGGGGAUCUUCGGACCUUGCGCGAUUGAAUGAGCCGAUGUCGGAUUAGCUAGUUGGCGGGGUAAAGGCCCACCAAGGCGACGAUCCGUAGCUGGUCUGAGAGGAUGAUCAGCGACACUGGAACUGAGACACGGUCCAGACUCCUACGGGAGGCAGCAGUGGGGAAUAUUGGACAAUGGGCGCAAGCCUGAUCCAGCCAUACCGCGUGGGUGAAGAAGGCCUUCGGGUUGUAAAGCCCUUUUGUUGGGAAAGAAAAGCAGCAGGUUAAUACCCCGCUGUUCUGACGGUACCCAAAGAAUAAGCACCGGCUAACUUCGUG